UACGUAGGGGGCGAGCGUUAUCCGGAUUUACUGGGCGUAAAGCGCGUUAAGGCGGUCGGCAAAGUUGGUUGUGAAAUCUCAGGGCUCAACCCUGAAAUUGCGACCAAUACUGGUCGACUAGAGUGCAAGAGAGGAAGGUGGAAUUCCCGGUGUAGUAGUGAAAUGCGUAGAUAUCGGGAGGAACACCAGUGGCGAAGGCGGCCUUCUGGCUUGUAACUGACGCUGUAGCGCGAAAGCG
rnacentral:rRNA from 1 species